rnacentral:lncRNA from 10 species
CAGUUCCUAAGGGUAAAGAGGGCUCCGCGCAUGCAGGAAGACCACCCUAAGGGAAGAAUCAUGGGAAAGAGAUGUCACAUGAAAGUCUGUAAAUAUGAACCACACUCUACUGCCCAGUGAUGGAGAAACCUACUGACUGUGGUGCGCAGAUUCCUAAGACGCCCUCAUGGUAUCCAUGUCCGCAUCAUCUCCUCCCCCUUGAGAGUGGGCUGAACCUGUGACUGGCCUCUAACCAACAGGCUAUCGUGAAGCAAGCCUCCAUCAGUUCUGCAGCUACAAGAAAAUGAGUUCUGCCAACAACCAAGUGAGCACUGAAGAGGACCCUGAGCAUCAGAGGACAGCCUAGCCCUGGCCAAUGCCUUCAUUGCAGCACUGUGAGACCCGAACAAAAGAUCCAGCUAAUGCAUGUUCAGAAUUCUGAUUCCAGGAAACUGUGGAAUAAUAAAUGCUCCUAUGUUAAGCUGCUAAGUGUGUGGUAAUGUUUUUACUCAGCAAUAGAAAACUACUGCUGGAUGGGCGCGGUGGCUUGUGCCUGUAAUCCCAGCACUUUGGGAGACCGAGGCACAUGGAUCACUUGAG